rnacentral:lncRNA from 1 species
GCCAGCAGGAGCGGAGCGCGCGCCUGGGGGAAUCUUCGGUGCGCCAAGUCUGUUCGCCGCCCGGGUCUAUCACCCCCGCCCCUCGCCUCUGCCCGCGCGCGUGUGAGUUGUAGCGUCCCCUGGGUUCUGUUCUGGAGGAGGCCUGAGAGCGGGGUUGCCUGGGGGGUGGGGCCCUCACCCCUCUCGUCGUGGUGAAGAGGCGUAUACCCAGCGGGUGAGUACCGCCCGCGAGCUCCCGGUUGAGCUGGCGUCCCCGGGGAGGACGCUGCGGGGCGCCGCCGUGGGAAGAGCGUGGAGGACGCAGCGUGGAGGCGCGAGGCCGUAGGACGCCAGCCAGCCAGUUGCGCGGGUUGCGGCGCACUGGGACCUACUUUAUGCUUUCCGUCGUCCCUGCCUUGCUAGGAAAAGAGAAUAACGAGAUAAACUAAACGUGAUGCGGUUGGGAACUUGUUCAGGGAAACCGGCUGGGACGAACUUCGGAAACUUGCUAGUGUGGAGAGCCGCACAGUGGUGAACAUUCCUCCUUGUGAUAUUGGGUACCUGGCUCUCUCCUGAAGACGCUGCUUUCCCAGCAAUUCACCACAGCGAAAGUCUGCCACCGCCCCCGCGGCGCAGGUGGUAUCUGUAUUUGUUGUCUUAUGGCCAUUGCUAGGCCAUUCCAUUCCACCCUUGUAAACCUUAGCAGAAACUCUUCUCUAAUGAGCCCUUUUCCCUCUCCUCACUGUUAUUUACCAGCUGCCUGGUCACUCAUGUUCAUUAAGGAAUUUAGUACCCAACUCAGUUUUUUUUUUUUUUUUUUUUUGGGACGGAGCCUCUAUCAGCCCAGUUUGGAGUACAGUGGUGCAAUCUUAGCUUGCCGCAACCUCCGCCUCCCAGUUUAUCCUGUAAUGACAGUAGCAUUUACAGAAAGUUUCUGUUGGAAAUAGAAAAAAAAAAAACAUGGAAAAUAUAUGAGUAUAGAAGAAAAACAAUUGAAAUUCCACUUUUAAAAUAAUGAUAUAUUCUCUUUAAGACACCAUUUUCCUUCUCCCUGUCGCUUCAAAAAAAAUCAGAAUAACACUACAUGUAAAAGUUUUGCGAUGUGAUCUUUAUGUAACAUUUUGAGGAUUUUUCCUUAUUAAAUAGUCUUUGUGGCCUGGCAUGGUGGCUCAUGCCUAUGAUCCAAGGACUUUGGGAGGCCAAGGUGGGAGGAUCACUUGAGGCCAGAAGUUCAAGACCAACCCGGGCAACAACAUAGCAAGACCCUGUCUCCCACACACACACAAAAAAUUAAUACCUGAGAAGGGUAGUGCCUACCUGUAAUCCUAGCUACUUGGGAGCCUGAGGAAGGAGGAUCCCUUGAGCCCAAGAGUUCAAGGAUACAGUGAGCUAUGAUUGCACCAUUGCAUCCCAUCCUAGAUGACAAAGUGAGACCUCAUUUAAAAAUAUAAUCAAUUAGCCAGGCGUGGUGGUGGGCACCAGCUACUCAGGAGGCUGAGGCAGGAGAAUGGCAUCAACCCAGGAGGCGGAGCUUGCAGCGAGCCGAGAUCAUGCCACUGCACUCCAGCCUGGGCGACAGAGCGAGACUCUGUUUCAAAAAUAAUAAUAACCAUCUUUGAGAAAUGUGAUUUUUAACAGUAACAUGAUAUUCCAAUGUGUUUCUAUUAUACAUAAUGGUGCAGUGAAUGUUACGCCCAAACUCUUUUUCCCCAGUAUUUCUGAUAUUUGCCUUAGGAUAAUUUCCAAGACAUGAAAUCACUGAGGCAAAGGAUGUGAAUAUGUUUAGGCUCUUUGUACAGCUCUAGUUAGUUAAAAGCUUUGACAAUGUUCUUAUGCUAUGAAAUUGUCACCAAUUCUUCUUAUUAUGUUUUUUCUCUUCCUUCUUUGUUCUAUGUUUAAUGUUAACAUUUUAUCUGUAUUUUGUAACCUUAUUUUUCAUUUUUCAUCAUAGACGGUAAAUCAGAGACUUACUCCAACCCCGAAGUUUAUACUGAAAGACUUGAUUAGCGUAAUAAAAGAACUAAAUGAGGA